rnacentral:lncRNA from 1 species
UCCCCCUUCGGACCCUCCGCACUCUGUGGACCUCUUCGAAGCCAUCUCGCAUAUACCGCACUCUACGAGCUCCUUCAAAAUUCAAGAGCUCAACCAACUCUUCUUCUUCAGUGACUAAACCCUAGAAAAAUCCAUCCUAGCCAUUAUCCUCUUCUGUCCCCGCACCAACCAUCACUUCAACUUCAUCCGGAGGAACUGC